rnacentral:rRNA from 1 species
AAUAGAUACCCCGGUAGUCCACGCCGUAAACGAUGAGUGCUAAGUGUUAGAGGGUUUCCGCCCUUUAGUGCUGAAGUUAACGCAUUAAGCACUCCGCCUGGGGAGUACGGCCGCAAGGCUGAAACUCGAAAGGAAUUGACGGGGGCCCGCACAAGCGGUGGAGCAUGUGGUUUAAUUCGAAGCAACGCGAAGAACCUUACCAGGUCUUGACAUCCUCUGACAACCCUAGAGAUAGGGCUUCUCCUUCGGGAGCAGAGUGACAGGUGGUGCAUGGUUGUCGUCAGCUCGUGUCGUGAGAUGUUGGGUUAAGUCCCGCAACGAGCGCAACCCUUGAUCUUAGUUGCCAUCAUUAAGUUGGGCACUCUAAGGUGACUGCCGGUGACAAACCGGAGGAAGGUGGGGAUGACGUCAAAUCAUCAUGCCCCUUAUGACCUGGGCUACACACGUGCUACAAUGGACGGUACAAAGAGCUGCAAGACCGCGAGGUGGAGCUAAUCUCAUAAAACCGUUCUCAGUUCGGAUUGUAGG